rnacentral:rRNA from 1 species
UACGUAGGGGGCAAGCGUUGUCCGGAAUCAUUGGGCGUAAAGCGCGUGUAGGCGGCCCAGUAAGUCCGCUGUGAAAGCCCAGGGCUCAACCCUGGGAUGCCGGUGGAUACUGUUGGGCUCGAGUCCGGAAGAGGCGAGUGGAAUUCCCGGUGUAGCGGUGAAAUGCGCAGAUAUCGUCAGGAACGCCAAUGGUGAAGACAGGUGACUGGGCUAGUUCUGACACUGAGGCACGAAAGCGUGGGGAGCGAACGGG